UACGUAGGUGGCAAGCGUUAUCCGGAUUUAUUGGGUGUAAAGGGCGUGUAGGCGGGAGCGCAAGUCAGAUGUGAAAACUCAGGGCUCAACCCUGAGCCUGCAUUUGAAACUGUGUUUCUUGAGUGCUGGAGAGGCAAUCGGAAUUCCGUGUGUAGCGGUGAAAUGCGUAGAUAUACGGAGGAACACCAGAGGCGAAGGCGGAUUGCUGGACAGUAACUGACGCUGAGGCGCGAAAGCGUGGGGAGCAAACAGG
rnacentral:rRNA from 1 species